rnacentral:rRNA from 1 species
CUUGCAAACCAAAGCUGGCGACCGGCGCACGGGUGAGUAACACGUAUCCAACCUGCCGAUAACUCGGGGAUAGCCUUUCGAAAGAAAGAUUAAUACCCGAUGGUAUAAUAAAACCGCAUGGUUUAAUUAUUAAAGAAUUUCGGUUAUCGAUGGGGAUGCGUUCCAUUAGGCAGUUGGUGAGGUAACGGCUCACCAAACCUUCGAUGGAUAGGGGUUCUGAGAGGAAGGUCCCCCACAUUGGAACUGAGACACGGUCCAA